rnacentral:rRNA from 1 species
GACGAACCGAGCGAACGUUGUUCGGAAUCACUGGGCUUAAAGGGCGCGUAGGCGGGCUGCCGCGUCCGGGGUGAAAUCCCACGGCUCAACCGUGGAACGGCCCCGGGUACGGGCGGCCUCGAGGGGGAUAGGGGCGUGCGGAACUGUGGGUGGAGCGGUGAAAUGCGUAGAUAUCAUUUGGAACGCCAAUGGUGAAAACAGGUAGCUGGGGCUGUGCUGACACUGAGACACGAAAGCCAGGGGAGCGAACGGG